GUCCAUCCCAAUCCCUCCCCCUCCCCUUGGCCACCACACGUCUGUUCUCCAAGUCCAUGAGAACUCAAUAUUCUUAUUGAGAUUCAACCAUUUUUCUUAAAUAAACUCUUCUUGGAUUCUUGCAAGUCUUUGGUUAAUUCCAGCAGCUCUUAAAAAGGAUGAUUUGACGAUUGUUUAUCAGUGUUUUCAUUGCUCUUAUGGAAGAGUAGAUUUUUAUAGGUCCUCACUUUGCCAGCACCGCUUCCCGAAAAGCAGAAUAAUUUAUUUAAUUAAUAAAUAUUUCCAUGUACUAAAAUACUGAUUAAAUAUGUCACACAUUAUUUGAAAACAGAAAUUUAAAACAAAUUUAAUGAACAGUAACUAUAAAUAAAAAUCUAAUAUUCCAUAUUGUAUCUUAAUAGACUAUCUUCCCGGGAUACAGGUGUCCUAUAUAAAAAUUUGGGGAGGGAGACUUUUAUCAAAUUUAUCUUCUGGUGCGAUUGAGAGUGCAAAAAUUUUGUCAGGGUUGGUAAGUUCUACUUAUAAUAAAUAGUGAUCAUAUAUGUAAUUAUCAGUAUAUUUUAAAAGCUUUUAAUUUAAGUUUUACAGUGUGUGGGCCAAAGCCAGCCUGCUGGGGCCAAGUCCAGCCAAGCCGAUCUGCUUAAACUGCUUUCAUGCUGCAAAGGCCGACUUGGGUAGUUGUAACAGAGACUGUAUGGUCCAGAGAGACCACAAGGGUUACUAUCUGGCCCUUUGCAUAAUUUUCUUUUUUUUCCUUUGGAGUAGAGCAAGAUUCAUGGUUUACAUUGGACUCUAGUCUUUCUCAAACUCUGGGAUAUAGCCAAACCAUUAACAAAAUUUGAUAACAAAUAUAGAUUUCCUGGUUGGACCCUAGGGAUCAUAACAUCAGUGAAUGACUUGCUCCCGAUUUUCAGUUGAGCCUGGUGGAGGAGGAGCCCUAGAAGAAGGGAGAAUGGUGAGGGGAAAAUGCUCAUUUCCCUUAGGCCUUCCCUCCAGGCUCCUCAUGCCUAGAUGGUUCUCUCCCUUCAUCCUUCUGUGUGUCAGUGUUCUCAUAAUCAGCCCCCUUCCCACACCUUCAGGAGUAGAGGGCGUAGAUGAGUACUUGUUGUUCUGUGGGGUAUGUAACAAUCCUUUGCAGUCUCCUUAAUCCCUGUCCACACUUCUCUUAAUAAUUCUUUUGUUCAAGUCCCCUAAGUUAUAGUGACUUUACGGUACCUUUCCUUUCAACGUAGGGAUCUAACCAUCUAACCCAAACUCCAAGUCUUCUUAGUCUCCUUUUUUUUAGAUUAAAACUUCAGCCUGUCUUUUUUCUACACUGAACUCCUGCUUUAAAAAAAAAAAAAAAACUGUCCCUUUCAAUUUUGUGUUAUCUUGAAUUUUAAAACUGUACCUUCUGUUUCUUUCAUCAAGUUGCUAAUAAAAUUAUGAACAGUUUAGGGUUAAGAAUAAUACCUGCAGAGGGUUACUGGAACACUCCUCCCUGGUUGCUCUGAUCCAUUUAUUACACCAGUUUCUAAUCCGUUACUUAAAAAGCCUCUGGUCCUCAUCUUCUUGGAGGUACAAGAUCUCAGUGGUUACGCAAGUCUAGCUUCUCUCUGUUUGCCGAUCUUCAGCUUCUGCCAGCGGCAGACCAGAAUUCAGAUAUACUUGACAAAUGGCAACCCAAGUAUUUCUGACUUUUCAAACUUGACUUCUCUGUGAUUACGACACUUGAUGUCCUUGGGACAUUCACCCGUCACAGCUGAUCCCCUCUGUCAGUGUGGAGGUCCACCAGCGUUCUAACAAUAAACAUUUCUUGAAUUUCCCUUUGUGGCCAGACUGCAUCACACCGUGCACCUGAAGCUAGAUAAUUGAGAUCAACCUGAAGUGCCUGGCAAAACAGGUUCCUUUGACGAUAGCAUGCUACAUAUUAUUCACAUGACAUCAUACAUGUAUAUCUUCUGUUUGGAAAGUUCUCCAUUACUUUAUUGUGGGAAAGCAUAAGAAAAGACAGUUUUUCAAAAUUGCCCCAUAUAUACUUUGCUCAUAAUUGCUUUUGGAAUGGAAUUCCCCAUCAGGAAUCUAUCAUUAAAUAUCCUCCAGGCAACAUAACACAGGUGAUCAGAAAUUAACUGCUUACAGUACUGUGCAUGUAUGAAGAUAUCGUUCUUAUUGGUAUAAUUAUUUUCAGCUCCUAAGCAUAAUACUUUCAUGAAUCAAAAUCAAUUUUAAGACUCUGUCUUUUUAGGAGAAGGAAAUUGACAGUAGGAAAUGGAGAAAAAUAUGUACACAGAUUUCAAAUUUCAAUUCUGAUUCUACAGGAGGGCCAGGACACAUGUGUGGACUCAUCCCACGGCUUGUGUUUUCUGAACGAAUUGAGGCCUCUUGGUAGCUAAUGAAGAAAGGGCUGAAGAGGGCAGAAUCAUUAGUUCCCCCAGUGGUUCCUCUGUCUUCACUCUUGAUGCCAAAAUGGGGUUAUAUAAAAAAAUGAAAACAGUUGAAUUAUGGAACAACUUUUUUCCUUGAAUAAUAGGUACUACUAAUAAAUGCUGAAUGGCCAAAAAGCCCCAAAACAUAGGCAAAUAUGCCUAAUAAAUAGUUAUUUAUAUUGCAGCUUAUGAUUUCUUCAGUGGCCUCACCUGAUACAGUCCAUGAACCUGACCUCAUCAAAUGCGCAGGAUGGUCUUCAGAGAAGCUGUUACAGAACUUACGUCUUGUAUGGUUGCAAGACGUGCAUUGGGGGAACCUCGAACAGUUCUGCGGAGUACCUCCAAUGCCCCGAGUCUUGGGCAAGCUGGCCUCUUUGGGCUGUGGCUCUGACCUUGGAUGUGACAGUUUCCUUCACCCCGUUAGAAAUGGAUGAUAGUUCACGAGACUUGGUCCACCAAAAUGUCUAUUUCUUUGAAUUUUUGAGCCAGCUUCGCAACUGUGCUGUGGGAAAUAGCAGCUCUUUCAAGAUGAUACGUAUUAAAGGGCCCUGCUAGUCAUUGUUACAAGCAGACCAUUCAUCCACGGAGCAGCAUCAGCUCAAUGCAGUCAUCGUUCAGCAAUCUGUAGAAAACAUAAAAUUAUAACAUUCAUGUUUCCAAAUUGUAUAGACACCCUGUGUAUACUAGGGAUUCUUCAAAAAUUUUAUCUGAUUUCAUGACAAAUCUAGGGCUUGGCUUCUGCUACUCCUUCCAUUUUGCAGAGGGACACAUGCAGGCAGAGGGAGAUGAAGUCACUGGUGCAAUAUCCCAGAGCUGGUAAAUGGACAUUGUGGGUCUUGGAUUCGGGGAAGGAGAAUAAAUAAAAGAGUUUAAAAUGAGUGAGGAAAUAUGCUAACUGGUAGAACACAAAUAUUUUGCUGUAUGUUUGCAUAACAUGACCAAGUAUUAAUAUAACCUGCUCUUUGGCGUGCACAUUAGAUGUCAGACUUUUAAGGAAUGCCAGAGUGAUAUCCUGAGUGUUGUCCUAAUAAGCUUCCUUCACCAUAGAAGUGCUAUGUGGCCUUUGACAAAUGUUUAGCAUCUCUGUGCUUUCGGAAGAUGGAGGUGAUUAUUUUCGCCAUCUACCAGCAGAUGGAGGUCGAAAUUGAAUUGCUGCUGACUGUUGUCCCUUGUUAUGGCCUGUGGAGAUAUGACAGUUGAGGAAGAACUUAGAGGAAUGCCAAGUAGCAGAGCAUGAAAGAGUAGGUGGGACCCACUGCCUUGGACACUUUAUGGCUGAGAGCAUUUGGCAAGAAAAAAGCUGCAGCCUCUAUAUUAGCCCUGCAAAUAGAUCUCAACAUCAACCAUGCCCCCACCCUCACCUCUGUUUAAUUUGCCCCAUGAUGGAUGUAUUUACCAAGAUCUGUUCUUCUCAUUUCCCGCUACCUCCCUGGACCCCUCAUAAAAUACCCAGAUAAUGAAA